GGGUGGCGGCACAGUGGGGUCACUACACAAGGGCCUGCCUCGCGUUUUGUUUCCAAAAUACUGCUGGGGCGGGAUCAGACGUGUGCUCGGAGCGCGCGGGAAGAGCGGCGGUUUCUGGAGAAUUCUUGGCUGGCUCUUCAGCCUUUGCCUGCUCUGCUCCUGCACAGUCACCCCGGCGGCGACAGCGGCGGGCAGACCGGGUCCCCCCCGCCCGGCGUCUGCGCGCCUCUCCGGGGGAGGGCCGGGCUGGCCCCACAGCUAUUAAGACCCGCAGCUGCCGGGGCGGCACCGGGGCGCGUUUCAAGUGAGCUCGAGGGAAAUGAGGGGCUUGCAGCCGGCCGCCUGCUUAUCCGCUCUCGCCGCCUGAAAGGCGACUCCGGGAGCGCGCGCCGUCCCUCCGACUGCCCGGGCGAGCUGGGGGAGCGCGCGCCCUUCGGGAACCCCCGGCAAGGAUACGCAAGCACCAGGCAACCGUGUGUGUCCAUGAGCAGAAGGGAAGCAGGCAGCACCACUCUGUACCCACAAGAGCAUCCUUGCUGGAGGUGGAGCAACAGGAGAGCUGGACACGGGGUGCAGCCAAACCAGCGAAAGCACAAAGGGACACAGCUGCACACAUGACCUUGCUGCGGACCUGGUGUGGAGUUUCCCACUGAAGUAAGUCAUUGUUCACAGCACUUGGCACUCAGAAAAGGAAAAAGUCUCUAGACAAACAGCCCAUUGAAAAAUAUACCAUAACGUGAGUAUGACGCCAUGGCAAGUUGCAACAUGGAAAGAAGUCCUGAAUGGAAAUUUUGUGCUACCAGCAGAUGAAAAGGUGUCCACAAAAUAGCAAAGAAACAACGUUGAUUUUGAAGCCCAUCUCAGUUUUCAUAUUUGACUUUCCCAGUGAGGUCUUUAACCAGUCGCUUUCAGAUCCCUGACGCUUCUAGAACAAACAUGGGCUCUCAGCUCUUGAAUGCUCUUUGCCUCUGGGAUAGGUAUAAGGCUGUGGGGUGCAGCGCACCCUACACCCCUCGCGUAAUAACUGAACGGAGAAGAGCUAGUGCCUGAUGAAAACUGCAGGGGACAUGCAGCCGUGGGUCAACGCUUCCCCAGCAAGGCCUGAUUUAGAAAGAAGGAGGCGGGCGUGGGCUGCGUCUCCCAGUGAGACAAGACUUGCAGGGCUUGAGGAAGGCGAUCGAAAUCCCGCCAUCCACCACGUCCCCCCUCAGACCUCCUGGCCGGGAAGCCAGAUAUUAGCCUGUGGAUAACACAAAACGUAAACACAUGUACUUUGCAAGGCUUGUUUGCCAAACUUCUUGUCAUUACUUAACCCAUGGCUUGUGGGGAGCAACUCGGACUAGACUAAGUUACUCGAAUUAAGACUUAUUCUAUGCAUCUGCUCUCCCACAAUAUGGCGCUGAGAAGGGAGUAAACAGCUUCUACACAGCUGCCUCUCGCCAAUUUGAUUGACUGAGCUGCAGGAGCUGAUCUUGCUCCUGAUUGGAGGAGAGCAGCAUACUCGGCGUGUGGGUAGCAGAGUUGGGAUUGGUGAAAGAGGACUAUAAAGGAGGAGAGAGACAACAUGCACCAGGAACACCUGAGGAACAUCUGAGCAGCCCCCGAGAGAGCCGGCCGGCGGUGUGCCGCUCCCCCGCGGAAGUGGGGAAAGUGGCAGGGGGAACCGCCCUUCCACGGAGGUGGAAGGGUCGGUUGCCAACCCGGGAAGAACCAGCAGCAAACCCGGGGAGGGCCGAGCAGACGAAAGAACAGAGCAGGGUCCUGUGUGGUUCCUCCACGAAGAGGGGGAGCGACAAUGGCUUAUCUAGGAUUUUUUUAAAUAAGGAAAAUGAAGGCAGCUACUUGUAAGCAAACAUUUUAAAUAGGAAACAUUUGUAGAGGUGUAUGUACAAGGAUGCUUUUGGUUAGAUUUGUUUAUAAUAUUAACUCACUCACAUAAGUCAUUGGUUAAAUAAAUUAUGCUGCAUCCAUGACCUAGCA
ensembl:lncRNA